rnacentral:rRNA from 1 species
UGCCAGACUCCUACGGGAGGCAGCAGUGGGGAAUAUUGGGCAAUGGAGGAAACUCUUACCCAGCAAUGCCGCGUGAAUGAAGAAGGUCUUCGGAUUGUAAAGUUCUUUAAUUGGGGACGAAAAAAAUGACGGUACCCAAGGAAUAAGCCCCGGCUAACUACGUGCCAGCAGCCGCGGUAAUACGUAGGGAGCGAGCGUUGUCCGGAUUUACUGGGUGUAAAGGGUGCGUAGGCGGCUUGGCAAGUCAGUAGUGAAAUCCAUGGGCUUAACCCAUGAACUGCUAUUGAAACUGUCGAGCUUGAGUGAAGUAGAGGUAGGCGGAAUUCCCGGUGUAGCGGUGAAAUGCGUAGAGAUCGGGAGGAACACCAGUGGCGAAGGCGGCCUACUGGGCUUUAACUGACGCUGAGGCACGAAAGCGUGGGUAGCAAACAGGAUUAGAUACCCCAGUAUU